UGAGGAAUAUUGGUCAAUGGACGAGAGUCUGAACCAGCCAAGUAGCGUGCAGGAUGACGGCCCUAUGGGUUGUAAACUGCUUUUGUUUGGGAAUAAUCGACAUUACGUGUAAUGUUUUGCAUGUACCAUUCGAAUAAGGACCGGCUAAUUCCGUGCCAGCAGCCGCGGUAAUACGGAAGGUUCGGGCGUUAUCCGGAUUUAUUGGGUUUAAAGGGAGCGUAGGCCGUUUGGUAAGCGUGUUGUGAAAUGUAGGAGCUCAACUUCUAGAUUGCAGCGCGAACUGUCAGACUUGAGUGCGCACAACGUAGGCGGAAUUCAUGGUGUAGCGGUGAAAUGCUUAGAUAUCAUGACGAACUCCGAUUGCGCAGGCAGCUUACGGGAGCGCAACUGACGCUGAAGCUCGAAGGUGCGGGUAUCGAACAGG
rnacentral:rRNA from 1 species